rnacentral:lncRNA from 1 species
ACCUAAUGGGUUUCUUGUUUGUGUUUACAAUGCAGCUGUCUGUUUCAGGAAGUGAGGGUUCUGGAACAGGAAGGACCUUCAGGAGCUGCUUCACACUGUGACAUGUCUGAUCCCUUGUGCCCAUUACUGCAGCAUGAACAAGGCGGACACUCACUGAUCUAUCACAAGGUUGCCUCACUGAGCUUUGGGGUCCAUGUCUGAAUGGAUUGCUGUAGCCUUCUCAUCUCUUCCUCCGCCCAGUUCCCAGCAUCCUGAGACUUGGAG